CGGGGGAGUCAUUUUAUCAUGUGAUCUUCAUUUUUAACUGCAUAUCCGAAACAGAGACGGAAGGACAAAUAGAAAGGGGAGUGUAAAUAACAAAGAUUUGAUAUCAAAUGAGUAAUCGCCUCCUCCUGGUUGGCAUCACCAUUCGCUCUAAUCGCUGCUUCAUCCCACACCACUUCACUUGCAGGACCUGCUUUUGUAGUGGUACCUUGAGAAAUCAGACUAACAUGGAAUCCGAUGAGGUUGUGGUGGUGGCUCACCCUCACCUUUUGGAUACCAAAAUUGCUGCUAUUCGGAAUGCGGGUCCCCCCAAACUCCAGGUUAUAGCAGAUUUUGAUGCCACACUCACAAAGUACAGAGUGAAUGGUUCUCGGGGACAAAGCAGUCAUGGCCUUUUGCAACAGGAGAAUCCUGAAUAUAAUAACAAAAGGCGGGAGCUAUUCGAAUACUAUCAUCCAUUAGAGUUCUCGCCAACUAUUCCAAUUGAACAAAAAACUAAGCUUAUGGAAGAAUGGUGGGGAAAGACUCAUUCUCUUUUGAUUGAGGGAGGCCUUACCUAUGAUGGGAUAAGGCAAUCCGUUGCUGAUUCCACAAUUGCCUUUAGGGAGGGUGUUGUUGAAUUAUUUGAGUUUUUAGAGAAAAGAGACAUUCCUGUUCUUAUAUUUUCUGCAGGACUUGCAGAUAUCAUAGAGGAGGUCCUGAGGCAGAAAGUUCACAGAUUGUUUAAAAAUGUGAAGAUCGUCUCCAAUAGGAUGAUAUUUGAUGAUAACGGCCACCUUGUAUCGUUUAAAGGGAAGACGAUUCAUAGUCUAAAUAAAAAUGAGCACGCUCUUGAUAUGGCUGCUCCACUUCAUGAGCAAUUAGGUGACUUAGAUGGGCCAACUUAUGAGAAUGCGUCAGUCAAGACAAGAAGAAAUGUCAUUCUUCUGGGCGAUCAUAUUGGUGACCUGGGAAUGUCUGAUGGUUUGAACUAUGAGAAUAGAAUUUCCGUGGGAUUUCUGUUGUGGCACACACAUAAGGUAAGUUUUACAGAGAUUAUAUUUGAUGUGGUCUGGGUGAUGAACUUAACUACAAGUGCAUGGAAGGUACUUUGUCACUUAGUCUUGGAAAUGGGAUUUAAAGCUUAGUCUGGCUGUCAAAAAUCACUACAUGCAGCAGGCUUGGACAGAUUUUCCCUGGAUGAACAACAGUAUCGACUAUCAAAGGUGAAGAGCAUGGUUGUGGUGCUCUCCAAGGAUUCUAUAAUGAUCUGUAAUUGCUCAUGGAAGCAAGAAAGGCUGAGCAGCUAGGGCCUAAUAUCAUCUGGAAUAAUUUUUUUCUCCAAGUUAGUUCCUCUUCUGGAACCAAUAUCAUUUGUGGUGACAUGUUGGUUGGGAUAGGGCUAUAGUCUAAUGCCUAAGUCAAUAGCUUGUGGUUAGGUUUGUUAUAUGGUAAUUUGGAGCACUGGGCAGGCAUUUCUUAAGUAAAUCAGAUUCUCCGUUGGUGGUGGUUGCAAGCUGGUGUUGAAAUUUGUGGUGUGAAUGAGAGAACCAGGCAAGAUGGGGGUAUUACUGUGGGAGGUAGUCUUGAAUCUGAAGAUUUGCUUAUGGGUGGAAUGACAAUGUUGAGAAUUCUAUUGAUAGCUACCGCGAAGCCUUUGACGUCGUUUACCUGAAUGAUGCACCCAUGUGGGGAGUAGUAAAGCUUGUUUCACAACUAUGUCCUGGAGGUGAUUGAAAUGAUUGAUUGCCCCAACUAUUAAUAUAUAGUCUCUGCUUCUUUCAUAGCACGGUUUUGGUGAAAUUUUGUUUUGAUAGGCAAACAAUUUUACAAUAGGCGGCUCUUCAUCCUUUGUUAUCAAUUUAGUUAUUAACUUAUUAUUGAUACUACUCAUUCAUUAAUUUUACCCACAAGUAUGUUUUUAGUCUUGAACCCCUUAAUGUUGUAAGCUCUGCUUAUAAGUAACAACUUCGGUCAGUCCUUUUGCGCAGACAGAUUUAUCCUUAAACUCCAUGCGUCUUAAGCUGAAAGAUAUUCCUAAUGAAAUAACAUGCUUUAUUUCAUGACU